CACGUAAACUUUGAACGGUUGUGAUCAUAUCCUGUCAGGAUGACCGGUUUGUACAUGACCGAUGGCACACUACGGCUCCACAAUCACCAGAUUAUUUUCCACAGAGUAGCGAGUGGGGAAGUCACGUAUAUGCACCGUGAAUAGUUUCUGUUUUGCAAGAGCCUGUCUAAAGCCCCCCAAUUCCCCUCUUCCUGACAUUCAUCCAGACUCAUCUGUUUCUUCUCCUUUUCCUUUGGGACGUCUAAUACCAUAUUUUAACACAUAUGACUAAACUCCUAGCCUAUCUCAGAUGUGGCACCGGGAACCAGUGGGCGGACUGGGUCGUGUUUGAAUGGGUGUGCUACAGUGGAAGCAGGCAUCACGGUGGAUCAAUCGUAUAAAAGAGAGAACCCCUUAAGGGAAAGAUUGAAUAAAGAGAUAAACAGAAAGAGGGCCACCUAGGCCAGCCGUCA